GUUUCAAACAUGCGCAGUACCGGAGGCAAAGGAGAGCCGGAGGAAUCGGAUAAGGAACAGGCGCGAUAAGGAUUUGAAAGGUGAAAAUUAGAAAUCGAAUCAAUGUCAGCAGAGGAAUUUGGCAGACUUGAACCUCAGACCAAACUGUGAAAGAGUAACUUGAUUGAGGAUCUGAAUAUUAUCAGCAUCUGAAUGUGGGUGCGUUCAGAAAGUUGGAGCAUUUGCAGUCAGUGAACUCAAAUCUCGCUGCAGAUUCUAACGGAAAUGUUGAAUUCAUCAUGUCUUGAAUAUCAUCAGGCUUUGAUCAUGGAAGCCAAAACCAGUGUUCACACUGAGAAACCAUGGAAAUGUGAGGACUGUGAGAAGGAAUUCAAAUAUCUAUCUUCCCUGGAAAGUCAUCAGAUUGGUCACACUGGAGAGAGACCGUUCACCAGCCCUGACUGCGGAAGGGGAUUAAUUUGAUCAUCCAGUCUGCUGAAACACCAGCAAGUUCAUAUAAGAGAGAGGCAGUUCAUCUGCUCUGAGUGUGCGAAAGGAUUCACUCACUCAUCCCAUCUGCUGACUCACCGGCACGUUCACACUGGGGAGAGACCUUUAAAAUAUCCACACUCUAGGAAUUGCGAGAAAAGUUCGCGAGAACUAAUAUCUCACAUUAUUGAGAAACCAUUCAGGUGCUCUCACUGUGCGUCUCGGUUCAAGCGAUCAUCUGAACUCCCAAUACACCAGCGCAUUCACACUGGGGAGAGACCGUUCAUCUAUUCCAUAUGUAGGAAGUGUUUUAUUCACUCAUCUGACCUGGUGAAACACCAGAAAGUUCAUUCUAAUGAGAGACCUUUUCAAUGUUCAGACUGCAGGAAAUGCUGUAAAUGUUCUGGAGAACUGAUGUCCCAUCAACAUGUUCACACUGUUGAGAGCCCAAUAAGAUACUCUCAUGAUGGGACUGGGUACAGAUGAAUAUGUGACCUCGCUGUACACCAAUGCAUCCACACAGGGGAGAUACCAUUCACUUGCUUCAUGUGCAGGAAGAUAUUCGUCAGAUCAUUUGUACCUGCUGAAACACGAGCAAGUUCAUUCUGACCAGAGAAUGUAGGAAAUGGUAUAAAGAUUCUGAACAAUUAGCCCCCAUGAACUUGUUCACAUUAUUGAAAUAACUUUGAAUGUUCAGAUUGCAGAAAAUGCUUUAAAAGUUCUCAACAAUUGAUGAUCCAUCAAUGUGUUUACACAGGUGAGAGACUGUUCCAGUGCUUUCACUUUCAAACUGGGUUCAGGUGAUCAUUUCGCCUCAUUGUAUGCCAGUGAUGUCAUACUGGGGAGAGAUUGUUUGCCUGCAUUGAAUGUGGGAAGGGAUUCACUCAA